CCUACGGGUGGCAGCAGUGGGGAAUAUUGGGCAAUGGAGGCAACUCUGACCCAGCAACGCCGCGUGAAUGAUGAAGGUCUUCGGAUUGUAAAGUUCUUUUCUAAGGGAAGAAGAAAGUGACGGUACCUUAGGAAUAAGCCUCGGCUAACUACGUGCCAGCAGCCGCGGUAAUACGUAGGUGGCAAGCGUUAUCCGGAUUUACUGGGUGUAAAGGGCGUGUAGGCGGGAAAGCAAGUCAGAUGUGAAAACCAUGGGCUCAACCUGUGGCCUGCAUUUGAAACUGUUUUUCUUGAGUACUGGAGAGGCAGACGGAAUUCCUAGUGUAGCGGUGAAAUGCGUAGAUAUUAGGAGGAACACCAGUGGCGAAGGCGGUCUGCUGGACAGCAACUGACGCUGAGGCGCGAAAGCGUGGGGAGCAAACAGGAUUAGAUACCCCAGUAGUC
rnacentral:rRNA from 1 species